rnacentral:misc_RNA from 1 species
AUUUCAAUACAUCUUGGAUCCAACUAAAUGAACUGCUCAGAAUUCAAAACAAUUUAUGGAUCCCGAAAAUAACAGAAUUAAAGAAAAAAGGAAGUGCACUGGCAGCUGAAGUAUCACGAGUUCAAUUUAUUGGAAGAACUACGCAAAGGAUUAGCCUGGAUAUAAUAUAUCGAGUGAAACCAGCAUCACAUGGACUAUCAUAUCGAAAAUGAAAUCACAAUCAAAUGGUGCUGUCAGGAUAUCAUUCUGGUACAUCAUCGAGAAGUAUGCUGAAGAAAGAGCACAUUUUUUGAAAAAAUAUAUAUAUACUCGUGUUAAACUAGACCAACUGCUAAACAAUUUGAAUUAUAAUGGCUCAUGAUGGUCUAAAGAGGAGCAGUAAUCAUACUUUAGAAGUGCUGUCAGAAUGCAGUUCUACGCGCAUUUGUUCAACGAGUAGUUCUUCAAUAGCAUCCACAAAGCUCAACAAGUUUAGCUGCACGUUUACGUCCCAGUAGUUCACCACUUCCUAAUAAAUUGAAAUUACACAACCAAAGAGGGGAAAAGAUUAAUAGAUAAACCACUAUGUAUAAACCUUGUUACAAACAUUUUUCCAAGAUGUUCAAAAAUACUAACCUUUUAUCGGAAUGUAAACUGCAGACAUGCAUACAUCACCAGUAAAAGUUACUCUUACCAUGAUUGUUAGUUUCAUUUAUCGGUACCAUUUCCUAUAUCCCUAUAUUAAGAACUCAAGAUCAUAUUCAGCAGAAUUACUUAAAUGGGCCUAAUGCAUGAUUAGAUUUGUUUAAUAUAGAUAAAAGGCUUGAAUAUUGUCUGCGCACUGUAGGUUGUGGUAACGAGAACUCUUAUCAAUGUAAAUUAGAUAAGCUGCAAUACAAUUAGCUUCCAAUAUUUUCCAAAAAAAAAUAUAAUAAAACAAAAUUCAUAAUAUAAACUACCUUCAUCACCAGAUCAAAAUGUCAAUGAAUUUCAGCAAAACCAGUGUUUCUUCAAUGUCAACCUGACUUUUUUAUCCAUGAUUUAUUCAAUGUAACUUCAUUGGACUGGAUUAAAAACUCUCACAAUCAUUUAAAUAAUACCAAUUUCCAAGUAACACAUAAAGUUUCAACUUCAUUAAUUAAAGAAUUUUUUAGCCGAAUGACUUGAAAAAUCCUGUACUCUCCACCCAAAUACAUGAUUCCUAUCUUGACAACAGACUUAUGCCCCCUUGAGCUAAAUGAUUUUCUUAAACUACAGAUACACAAAUAAAAUAUAUUGAUUGGAGGUUCGUAUUUUUAAUUAAGAACUUGGAAACUAUGAAAUUUUCAGGCACCAAUUAAAAAAUAAAAAUUUUAGCACGUGAUACUUUUCAGUUCAUCCAAAAGCAAGACAGAAGAUAUGAAUGCGCACCUCAACCUUGCAAAGAAGGCUUAAUGAAAUUUCUUUCGAAUGGUGAUCUGAGCUUUUGAGGGACAACACCUUCAGUGGAGAUCUUGCUAUGGGCCAACCUUGACUUAACUUUAUGAAUGCAUCAACUCCCCCAACCAAAUGAGCAACAAUUGUCUCAUCCCUAUCCAAGUACUCAAACGAAUGCCUUGAUUUAUCUGCAUGCUUCACCACCAAACGUCUCAAGGUGCACUGAAUGAUUCUAUCUUGCACUUUUCUGACAAACCACUCCAACGAAGACCUGGUCUCCAUGGAUGAGUGUGAAAAUAAUUGCCUGAAAGAUUUUGCAGCAUCAAUAAUAUCAUUUAUGUACACAUCAUUUGGAAAAAUCUCAGCAUUCUUAAGCUCCAUGGUUCCAUUAACUACUUCUAUCAGCAAUUCAUGAUUUACUUCAGAAGGCUCAGCAGCUCCUUCAAUCUUUUGUUGGCACAAUAAAUCUUCUAAUUUAGGAAGAUAUGUCCGCAAUGACAAUCUAAUACAGAUCCCAUCAAAUUCAAUGACUUUUAGACCUGAUAAUGUAUCGUCAAUUUGUUCUACAGCAUCAAUCCUUUUGAAUAUGGAAUCAAGAUCCUGUAAAGACUUCAACAUUACUUUGCUUUCCUCAAUCUGAUUAUCAAGCUUUAAAAACUCAAACUCACAUUCUCCAGGUGCAUUUGUUGAAUUUAAUUGCUCUUCUCUGCAACCAUGUUCUUUUCUUUUCUCCGCAUCCUGUGACGAUAUAAUAUCUAAAGAACAUUUCAACAAUUCAAUAUCACUCUCCAGUUGAGUAAAAUCUUCCACAUGAUUUCUUGUAAGAACCUCAAUUUCACUGGAUAUCUUGGUACUCUCAGCCUCUGCCGUGUUGAGUUCCUCUUUCAGAUGCUCUAAAUCUUCAAUCCCUAAGAAACUGAAGUCAGAGCACUCGGUCAUAAUUUGCUCAACUUUGCUCUCGAUCUGAAGAGCACAAUCUUUCAGUAAUUGGUCUGAAUCUGAAGGGGACAUUUCAUUGCAAUUGCUGUAAAUUUCUUCGAGCUCUCUUAAUUCACUGCGAAAGGUGUCGAGAUCAAGAGGUUCUGAAGAGGGAACGGCUUCCAUCUCGGGCGAAAUCCAAUCUCCCGCUCAAGCGAUGCGAUGAGGUAGACCGUGACAGGCAGGAAUUUGCUUUGGUGUUAUUAGUGUAAAAACGUUUGAAAGAACAUUUAAAAAUGGAGAGGGCGG